rnacentral:rRNA from 1 species
AUUGAACGCUGGCGGCAGGCCUAACACAUGCAAGUCGAACGAGUGGCGGACGGGUGAGUAAUGUCUGGGAAACUGCCUGAUGGAGGGGGAUAACUACUGGAACCGGUAGCUAAUACCGCAUACCAUCGGAUGUGCCCAGAUGGGAUUAGCUAGUCGGUGGGGUAAAGGCUCACCUAGGCUACGAUCCCUAGCUGGUCUGAGAGGAUGACCAGCCACACUGGACAUGAGACAGGGUCAAGACUCCUAGGGGGGGAAGCAGUGGGUAAUAUUGAACAUGGGGCGCAAGCCUGAUGCAGCCAUGCCGCGUGUAUGAAGAAGGCAUUCGGGGUGUAAAGUACUUUCAGUGGGGAGGCGUUACCAGCAGAAGAAGCACCGGCUAACUCCGUGCCAGCAGCCGCGGUAAUA